UACGUAGGGUGCAAGCGUUGUCCGGAAUUAUUGGGCGUAAAGGGCGCGUAGGCGGCGCGGUAAGCGUGCGGUGAAAGCCCGGGGCUCAACCCCGGGUCGGCCGUGCGGACUGCCGGGCUGGAGCACUGUAGAGGCAGGUGGAAUUCCGGGUGUAGCGGUGGAAUGCGUAGAUAUUCGCAAGAACACCAGUGGCGAAGGCGGCUCACUGGCCCGAUACUGACGCUGAGGCACGAAAGCGUGGGGAGCAAACAGG
rnacentral:rRNA from 1 species